rnacentral:rRNA from 1 species
UACGUAGGGGGCAAGCGUUGUCCGGAAUCAUUGGGCGUAAAGAGCGUGUAGGCGGUUCGAUAAGUCUGCUGUGAAAGUCCAAGGCUCAACCUUGGGAUGCCGGUGGAUACUGUCGAACUCGAGUCCGGAAGAGGAGUGUGGAAUUCCUGGUGUAGCGGUGAAAUGCGCAGAUAUCAGGAGGAACACCGAUGGCGAAGGCAGCACUCUGGAACGUGACUGACGCUGAGACGCGAAAGCGUGGGGAGCAAACAGG